AGUGAAUAGAUACCCGGGUAGUCCACGCCGUAAACGAUGCGCACAAGGUUCACGAGACUCUGACGUCGAGUGAGCCGAAAAACAAAAGUGUUAAGUGCGCCGCCUGGGGAGUACGGCCGCAAGGCUAAAACUCAAAGGAAUUGACGGGGGCUCACACAAGCGGUGGAGCAUGUGGCUUGAUUCGAAGCAACGCGAAGAACCUGACCUGGGUUUGACAUGCAAGGAUUAGUUCUGUGAAAGCAGAAUGACGCGGCUUGCCGUGGAACUUGCACAGGUGCUGCAUGGCUGUCGUCAGCUCGUGUCGUGAGAUGUCGGGUUAAGUCCCUAACGAGCGAACCCUUGUCGCUAGUUGCUAACGGGUAAAGCUGAGCAC
rnacentral:rRNA from 1 species